AUUGAACGCUGGCGGCAUGCCUUACACAUGCAAGUCGAACGGCAGCACGGGAGCAAUCCUGGUGGCGAGUGGCGAACGGGUGAGUAAUAUAUCGGAACGUGCCCAGUAGUGGGGGAUAGCCCGGCGAAAGCCGGAUUAAUACCGCAUGAGACCUGAGGGUGAAAGCGGGGGAUCGCAAGACCUCGCGCUAUUGGAGCGGCCGAUAUCAGAUUAGCUAGUUGGUGGGGUAAAGGCCUACCAAGGCAACGAUCUGUAGUUGGUCUGAGAGGACGACCAGCCACACUGGGACUGAGACACGGCCCAGACUCCUACGGGAGGCAGCAGUGGGGAAUUUUGGACAAUGGGCGCAAGCCUGAUCCAGCAAUGCCGCGUGCA
rnacentral:rRNA from 1 species